UGAAUCGAAGUUCAACAUACUCCAGCUUUAAUAACUUCCUUUUCUUCAUUUUUUUCCUCCAGGCUUUAAAAGAGGUAUCACUGUCUCCUGAUGGGAUCAGCAUUUUGGUAGAGUCACAACCAAAAGGGGAGUUCAUCUUUACAGGUUACGGACCCGGAUCCCAGGGGGUGACACUGAGGACAGUGGUGAUGAGAGAAAGCUGGUGA
ensembl:lincRNA